rfam:Bacillus weihaiensis strain Alg07 chromosome, complete genome.
CCUAACUUCAUAACCGAGGAUAGGAAUGAUAAAACCACGUAUUUUGAAACUAUCCCAUUAAUAUUCCUGCAUGCGUCAUAAUUGACAGAUUAUGGGGUCUGGAGCUCAGGUGAAGUCGGCAGAACAAAGGCUGAAGCCAUUCCGUGUGGAAAGGGUAUGCCAAUGGAUAUGCCGGAUGGCUGAAAA